rnacentral:tRNA from 1 species
GGGAAUAGCUCAGUGGUAGAGCACAACCUUGCCAAGGUUGGGGUCGCGAGUUCGAACCUCGUUUCCC